AUGUAAGCGUGUUUGGUGCUCUGUUUUCUGUUGUGUUUGAGUGUUUUGUGUUUUGUUUAGGUUGUGUGUGUGUGUGUGUGUGUGUGUGUGUGAGAGAGAGAGAGAGAGAGAGAGAGAGACA
rnacentral:sRNA from 1 species